ACGAACGCUGGCGGCGUGCCUAAUACAUGCAAGUCGAACGCUUCUUUCCUCCCGAGUGCUUGCACUCAAUUGGAAAGAGGAGUGGCGGACGGGUGAGUAACACGUGGGUAGCCUACCCAUCAGAGGGGGAUAACACUUGGAAACAGGUGCUAAUACCGCAUAACAGUUUAUGCCGCAUGGCAUAAGAGUGAAAGGCGCUUUCGGGUGUCGUUGAUGGAUGGACCCGCGGUGCAUUAGCUAGUUGGUGAGGUAACGGCUCACCAAGGCCACGAUGCAUAGCCGACCUGAGAGGGUGAUCGGCCACACUGGGACUGAGACACGGCCCAGACUCCUACGGGAGGCAGCAGUAGGGAAUCUUCGGCAAAGGACGAAAGUCUGACCGAGCAACGCCGCGUGAGUGAAGAAGGUUUUCGGAUCGUAAAACUCUGUUGUUAGAGAAGAACAAGGACGUUAGUAACUGAACGUCCCCUGACGGUAUCUAACCAGAAAGCCACGGCUAACUACGUG
rnacentral:rRNA from 1 species